rnacentral:rRNA from 1 species
UACAGAGGUGGCAAGCGUUGUUCGGAAUUACUGGGCGUAAAGGGCGCGUAGGCGGCCGCCUAAGUCAGACGUGAAAUCCCCAAGCUUAACUUGGGAACUGCGUCUGAUACUGGGUGGCUUGAGUUCGGGAGAGGAAUGUGGAAUUCCAGGUGUAGCGGUGAAAUGCGUAGAUAUCUGGAGGAACACCGGUGGCGAAGGCGGCAUCCUGGACCAACACUGACGCUGAGGAGCGAAAGCCAGGGGAGCAAACGGG